GAUUCGUCACACUAUCAUUAACUGAAUCCAUAGGUUAAUGAGGCGAACCGGGGGAACUGAAACAUCUAAGUACCCCGAGGAAAAGAAAUCAACCGAGAUUCCCCCAGUAGCGGCGAGCGAACGGGGAGGAGCCCAGAGCCUGAAUCAGUGUGUGUGUUAGUGGAAGCGUCUGGAAAGGCGCGCGAUACAGGGUGACAGCCCCGUACACAAAAAUGCACAUGCUGUGAGCUCGAUGAGUAGGGCGGGACACGUGGUAUCCUGUCUGAAUAUGGGGGGACCAUCCUCCAAGGCUAAAUACUCCUGACUGACCGAUAGUGAACCAGUACCGUGAGGGAAAGGCGAAAAGAACCCCGGCGAGGGGAGUGAAAAAGAACCUGAAACCGUGUACGUACAAGCAGUGGGAGCACAGAGCAAUCUGUGUGACUGCGUACCUUUUGUAUAAUGGGUCAGCGACUUAUAUUCUGUAGCAAGGUUAACCGAAUAGGGGAGCCGAAGGGAAACCGAGUCUUAACUGGGCGUUAAGUUGCAGGGUAUAGACCCGAAACCCGGUGAUCUAGCCAUGGGCAGGUUGAAGGUUGGGUAACACUAACUGGAGGACCGAACCGACUAAUGUUGAAAAAUUAGCGGAUGACUUGUGGCUGGGGGUGAAAGGCCAAUCAAACCGGGAGAUAGCUGGUUCUCCCCGAAAGCUAUUUAGGUAGCGCCUCGUGAAUUCAUCUCCGGGGGUAGAGCACUGUUUCGGCAAGGGGGUCAUCCCGACUUACCAACCCGAUGCAAACUGCGAAUACCGGAGAAUGUUAUCACGGGAGACACACGGCGGGUGCUAACGUCCGUCGUGAAGAGGGAAACAACCCAGACCGCCAGCUAAGGUCCCAAAGUCAUGGUUAAGUGGGAAACGAUGUGGGAAGGCCCAGACAGCCAGGAUGUUGGCUUAGAAGCAGCCAUCAUUUAAAGAAAGCGUAAUAGCUCACUGGUCGAGUCGGCCUGCGCGGAAGAUGUAACGGGGCUAAACCAUGCACCGAAGCUGCGGCAGCGACACUAUGUGUUGUUGGGUAGGGGAGCGUUCUGUAAGCCUGUGAAGGUGUGCUGUGAGGCAUGCUGGAGGUAUCAGAAGUGCGAAUGCUGACAUAAGUAACGAUAAAGCGGGUGAAAAGCCCGCUCGCCGGAAGACCAAGGGUUCCUGUCCAACGUUAAUCGGGGCAGGGUGAGUCGACCCCUAAGGCGA
rnacentral:rRNA from 1 species